rnacentral:rRNA from 1 species
UACCAGCACCCCGAGUGGUCGGGACGAUUAUUGGGCCUAAAGCAUCCGUAGCCGGUUCUACAAGUCUUCCGUUAAAUCCACCUGCUUAACAGUUGGGCUGCAGAGGAUACUAUAGAGCUAGGAGGCGGGAGAGGCAAGCGGUACUUAGUGGGUAGGGGUAAAAUCCGUUGAUCCACUGAAGACCACCAGUGGCGAAGGCGGCUUGCCAGAACGCGCUCGACGGUGAGGGAUGAAAGCUGGGGGAGCAAACCGGAUGAGAAACCCUUGUAGUCC